rnacentral:lncRNA from 1 species
CCUUGUGCAUUUACCGCCGCGGCCUGCAUGCAGAUCGGGUGCGUUUGCGUCCGUGCAUUAGCUCCUAGGUGGUGAGCGUUGCAGCUUGAUAUAGCCGGCGGGUGCCGCCGAGAAUACGGUUUUUCCGAUCCAUGGCCAGCGAAUAUAAGGGCACUCACAAUGCGUCCAAGACAAUUAAUUACAUACUAUUUAUGGUAUUUUGCUGAUGUGGCAGCAUAUUUAUUGAAGAAAGAGGUAGAAAAAAUAAGACUCCAAGUCUUAUUUAGACUCCAAGUCCACAUUGUUCGAGGUAAUAAAUAACUUUAGACUCUAUGAUAGAGUCUGCAUUGUAAGUGCCCUAACACAACUUAAUGUCGUUGCUACACAGAAGUACCUUUUUACCCUCCACGAUUUAAUUAGAGCUGGUUCCGGGUCCAUUAAGUCUUGGUUCUGGCCCACAACUUAAGUUCCUCUUAGUAGGUUCUUCCCGUUUCUUAACCAUCCGAUUUAGCCAAACGGAUGGUUCUAAUUAUUUUCAAGCGCUGUAAAAUCUCUCGUAUUUCAAUGGGUUGUAUCUUAGAGCGUCCCCAAUAAAUACCAGCUAUACGUGGACAAAGAAGAAAUAUUAAAAAUUUGAACGCUAACCAGAAUCUCGUCACAUAGGCCUUGUUUAGUUUUAAUAUUUUUGCAAAAUAGACACUAUAACACUUUCAUUUGUAUUUGACAAAUAUUAUCUAAUCAUGAACUAAUUAGACUUAAACAAUUCAUCUUGCAAAUUACAAGUAAACUGUACAAUUAGUUAUUAUUUUUAUUUUUAUUUAAUAUUUUAUAAAUGUGUCGUAAGAUUUGAUGUGACAAGAAUCCUGAAUUUUUUUUAUAAUUUUUUUUAGGACUAAACAAGGCCAUACUCGUAUGAAACUUGUUGCUUCUGUCACUCUGCCCCAUAUAUGUGAGCUAUAAAUUUAUUUAUGUUUUCAGUCCCACACGAACGCUUGCCGAUUUCAAAGUGUUGUUGGGACGUCUUAAGAGCAAAGCUAAUAAUAGAGCUAAGUAUUUGACUAUUAGCCAAAUUGUAAGAGCCGAGCUAUAAUAGUAGUAUUUUAUUUGUCUAUAAGAAACUUUUUUAUUGUUAAGCCUUGUUUACUUUCCAUCCAAAAACUUUUCACUCCAUCUCAUCAAAUGUUUGGGCACAUGCAUAGAGCAUUAAAAAUAUAUUAAAAAAUAACUAACUGCACAAUUUACAUGUAUUUUGCUAGAUAAAUCAUUUGAACUUAGUUACUCUAUAAUUAAAUACUAUUUGCUAUAGUUACAUAUGUGCAGUGGCAGAGCCAAAAUUUUUGCUUAGGGUAUGCCGAAUAAAACAAUUUUAUAUAUAAAUAGGUAAAAACCAUUUAGGCCCUGGUUAGAUCCCAAAUCUUUAUAUUCCAAAACUUUUGGCUGUAAACCUUACAUUCCAAAUAUGUGUUUAGAUGCUUCCUAUUUUUUUUUUCUCUGCAACACAUAAGACAGAUUUGCCCUCUUUAAUGCUUGAUUUGGUUCAUUAGUUGGGGGUAUACGACGUCCAACUUGGGCCCCUAAGCAAGUUUACAUAGUUUUGGGUCUCUAGGGUCCCAAAUUCUAAAUCUUUACAACCCAAGUUUUACAGGCCCUGUUUAGAUCCAUCCUUCCAAAAAAGUGUUCAUUUCUUCAAAUGUUUUGAUUUUUUAGCUGCAUCUAAACAGGCCCUUAGCAAUUCGAUAGAAUUUCAUAAAAAAUGUCCAACAAUUUGGUACAAAGUUAUUAAAGCCUUGUUUAGUUGU